rnacentral:lncRNA from 1 species
UUUGCACGAAAUGAAGAGGAGCGAAGCACUUAAUAUCAGUAUUUGCCGAGCUGUGAGAACAUCUAAAUUUUUGAAUGGGUGAAAACAUCUUACAAGUUAACAUGCACAGGCUGUCCUGAGAGACUAUUAAAGGAGGAUUGUAAGAGAGGAAUAUGCCAACAAGAACUGCAAUGAGGAGUCGUUGACAGGAGGAAACUUUUUAAAAGAGACCACACACUACCUCAUCAACAUGCUUGAAGAUGAUCUGAGCCUGAAGAGGGACAAAGGGCCUAGUGAUAAGACUACCUUUCUGCAAGUAUUGACAAUUCUGCUUUUGUAUGGUGAUAAUUUCAGGGAAUACGUGGUGAUGAGGCAUCAGUGUUGCAAUUAUCUGUUUGUGAGUGAUCAAAGAUGUUUCGCAAGCCAUAGCAA